rnacentral:miRNA from 8 species
UUUCUUUCUAUCCUAGUAUAAC